UACGUAGGGUGCAAGCGUUGUCCGGAAUUACUGGGCGUAAAGGGCGCGUAGGCGGCCUUCUAAGUCAGACGUGAAAUCCCCGGGCUCAACCUGGGAACUGCAUUUGUGACUGCAUCGCUGGAGUGCGGCAGAGGGGGAUGGAAUUCCGCGUGUAGCAGUGAAAUGCGUAGAUAUGCGGAGGAACACCGAUGGCGGAGGCAAUCCCCUGGGCCUGCACUGACGCUCAUGCACGAAAGCGUGGGGAGCAAACAGG
rnacentral:rRNA from 1 species